UACGUAGGGGGCAAGCGUUGUCCGGAUUUACUGGGCGUAAAGCGCGCGUAGGCGGCCCGGUAAGUCCGCUGUGAAAGUCCAGGGCUCAACCCUGGAAAGCCGGUGGAUACUGCCGGGCUAGAGUCCGGAAGAGGCGAGUGGAAUUCCUGGUGUAGCGGUGAAAUGCGCAGAUAUCAGGAGGAACACCGGUGGCGAAGGCGGGUCUCUGGGCCGAAAUUGACGCUGAGGAGCGAAAGCGUGGGGAGCAAACAGG
rnacentral:rRNA from 1 species